rnacentral:rRNA from 1 species
UUUUUACAAUGGAGAGUUUGAUCCUGGCUCAGGAUGAACGCUAGCUACAGGCUUAACACAUGCAAGUCGAGGGGCAGCAUUAUCGAAGCUUGCUUUGAUAGAUGGCGACCGGCGCACGGGUGAGUAACGCGUAUCCAACCUUCCCCAUAGUCAGGAAUAGCCCGGCGAAAGUCGAAUUAAUGCCUGAUGUUUUCCACGGACGGCAUCAGAUGUGGAACAAAGAUUCAUCGCUAUGGGAUGGGGAUGCGUCUGAUUAGCUUGUUGGCGGGGUAACGGCCCACCAAGGCAACGAUCAGUAGGGGUUCUGAGAGGAAGGUCCCCCACAUUGGAACUGAGACACGGUCCAAACUCCUACGGGAGGCAGCAGUGAGGAAUAUUGGUCAAUGGGCGGAAGCCUGAACCAGCCAAGUAGCGUGAGGGACGACUGCCCUAUGGGUUGUAAACCUCUUUUAUAAGGGAAUAAAAUACGGGACGUGUCCUGUUUUGCAUGUACCUUAUGAAUAAGGACCGGCUAAUUCCGUGCCAGCAGCCGCGGUAAUACGGAAGGUCCAGGCGUUAUCCGGAUUUAUUGGGUUUAAAGGGAGCGCAGGCGGUCUUAUAAGCGUGACGUGAAAUGCAGCGGCUCAACCGUAUGAUGUGCGUCGCGAACUGUAGGACUUGAGUGUAUUCGAUGUCAGCGGAAUUUGUGGUGUAGCGGUGAAAUGCUUAGAUAUCACGAAGAACUCCGAUUGCGAAGGCAGCUGACAAGGCUACAACUGACGCUAAAGCUCGAAAGUGCGGGUAUCGAACAGGAUUAGAUACCCUGGUAGUCCGCACGGUAAACGAUGGAUGCCCGGUGUUUGCGAUAUACAGUGAGCGCCCAAGCGAAAGCGUUAAGCAUCCCACCUGGGGAGUACGCCGGCAACGGUGAAACUCAAAGGAAUUGACGGGGGCCCGCACA